rnacentral:rRNA from 1 species
AACGAACGCUGGCGGCAUGCCUAACACAUGCAAGUCGAACGAGACCUUCGGGUCUAGUGGCGCACGGGUGCGUAACGCGUGGGAACCUGCCCUUAGGUUCGGAAUAACUCCCCGAAAGGGGUGCUAAUACCGGAUAAUGUCUUCGGACCAAAGAUUUAUCGCCUUUGGAUGGGCCCGCGUUGGAUUAGCUAGUUGGUAGGGUAAAAGCCUACCAAGGCGACGAUCCAUAGCUGGUCUGAGAGGAUGAUCAGACACACUGGGACUGAGACACGGCCCAGACUCCUACGGGAGGCAGCAGUGGGGAAUAUUGGACAAUGGGCGAAAGCCUGAUCCAGCAAUGCCGCGUGAGUGAUGAAGGCCUUAGGGUUGUAAAGCUCUUUUACCCGGGAUGAUAAUGACAGUACCGAGAGAAUAAGCUCCGGCUAACUCCGUG